UACGGAGGGUGCAAGCGUUAAUCGGAAUUACUGGGCGUAAAGCGCGCGUAGGCGGCUGGGUAAGUCGAUUGUGAAAUCCCCCGGGCUCAACCUGGGAAUUGCAGUCGAGACUGCCCGGCUAGAGUGUGGGAGAGGGUGGUGGAAUUCCCGGUGUAGCGGUGAAAUGCGUAGAUAUCGGGGAGGAACAUCAGUGGCGAAGGCGACCGCCUGGCCCAACACUGACACUGAGGAGCGAAAGCCAGGGGAGCAAACGGG
rnacentral:rRNA from 1 species